rnacentral:tRNA from 1 species
GCGCCAGUAGCUCAGUUGGAUAGAGCGUCGGUCUACGAAACCGAAGGUCACAGGUUCGAAUCCUGUCUGGCGCA